GCAAAGAAUUCCUCGACUUCCUCCUCCGUGGCGUCAUCCGGAUCUCCUUGUCUCACCUUCUUAUUCCUGGCUUCAUCGGAUUCCUUAUCGAUCCUUCUUCUCUUGUCUUUCCCUUUGCUAUCCAUCUCUCUCCGGUGGGGCACAAUCUAUUAUUCUCCAGCAGCUAAAUAGCUUCGUAGUCUUCGGUGCAAACAAAGGUCGAAUCUCAUUAUACCACCACCGCCAGGAAUUUGCUGAAAAAUUGCAUGGUCGUCAAUCUUUAAUUUUGAUAAAGAAG
rnacentral:misc_RNA from 1 species